rnacentral:rRNA from 1 species
UAGCGUUGUUCGGAAUUACUGGGCGUAAAGCGCACGUAGGCGGCUUGGUAAGUUAGAGGUGAAAGCCUGGAGCUCAACUCCAGAAUUGCCUUUAAGACUGCCGAGCUAGCAGGUGAGAGAGGUGAGUGGAAUUCCGAGUGUAGAGGUGAAAUUCGUAGAUAUUCGGAGGAACACCAGUGGCGAAGGCGGCUCACUGGCUCGAUACUGACGCUGAGGUGCGAAAGCGUGGGGAGCAAACAGG